rnacentral:rRNA from 1 species
ACAAGCGGUGGAGCAUGUGGUUAAUUCGACGCAACGCGAAGAACCUUACCAGGGCUUGACAUCCCCUGACCGCGUAUGAAAGACGUUUUCACCCUCAGGUGACAGGGAGACAGGUGGUGCAUGGUUGUCGUCAGCUCGUGUCGUGAGAUGUUGGGUUAAGUCCCGCAACGAGCGCAACCCCUAUGUUUAGUUGCUAGCGAGUAAAGUCGAGCACUCUAGACAGACUGCCGGUGAUAAACCGGAGGAAGGUGGGGAUGACGUCAAAUCAUCAUGCCCCUUAUGUUCUGGGCUACACACGUGCUACAAUGGCCGGUACAAACGGAAGCGAAGCCGCGAGGUGAAGCAAAUCUGAUAAAACCGGUCUCAGCUCGGAUUGCAGGCUGCAACUCGCCUGCAUGAAGUCGGAAUCGCUAGUAAUCGCAGGUCAGCAUACUGCGGUGAAUACGUUCCCGGGCCUU